ensembl:lncRNA
CAGUUAACAGGUUGAGGAAUCAAAAGAAAGAACAAAGGGAUGAACAAACGGAUGAACAAAGGGGUGAACAAACGGAUGAACAAAAAAACAAUUUUGUUAUACCACUUAUUCAUAAAAAAUAUCGUAUAAAUAAAAAAAUGGAUUCUUACUUCCAUAGUGUAAAAGAAUUAAUAAAUGAAUUUACUAGUAUGUUUAUUACAUUAAAAAAAAUAGCACAAAUAUAUUGGUUAGCUCCAUUUUGGUUUACGCGUUGUAAUCUAUACAAUUGGUACCUCCCGACUUGGAAUAUUAUAGAGAAGACACAAAGUUUUCAAGCACAACAUCAUAAUAACGUAAAUUCGACCGCAUGUUAUAUCAACGAUGACAAUUAUGAAUGUUUCAAAAAUAGUCAAAACAAAAAACAUAGUAUUGAUUUGCAAUAUUAUAUAAAUAAGUAUGAUAACUAUGAAUAUGUAAGUACAAACUAUCCUCAGGACUAUUUAAAUGAUUAUAUGUUGUGUUUUCAGUUUACGCUGAAUGAGUUGUAUUUUAUUAAUAAGGGGUUACUACCUACUGGGGAAAAAGAGGCACAACAAGGUGAAUCGACCGACCAGGCUGACCAAGCUGACCAAGCUGAUCAAGCUGAUCAAGCUGACCAGGCUGACCUAGCUGACCAGGCUGACCUAGCUGACCAGGCUGACCAAGCUGACCAGGCUGACCUAGCUGACCAGGCUGACCAAGCUGAUCAAGCUGACCAGGCUGACCAAGCUGAACGGAAAAACCACUUUUUUAUGAAUAUCCUUCCGUGUGGCUCCUUCUAUUUAACAAUCCCAAUUAAACAAAAGACGUAUAUAAAAGUAAAAAAUGUGGAUGACCUAAAAAAUGAAGAUACUUUAUCUUUUUUUUACGAAAAUGUGAUUAUAAAUAUGAUGGUACAAAAAAAAAAAAAAAAAAAAAAAAAAGUAGUGAUGGUGGUGGUGGUGAUGAUGAUGAUGGUAUGAACAGUGACGACCUGAAGAGAAAAAAAAAAGUCGUUGAAGAAAAUAUAUGUCAAAAAAAAAGAAAUUUAAAAAAAAAUAAAAACCAAAAGGACUACUGGGUAUUAUUAACAAAAAUUGAUUUGCUUAUUAAAGAUGAAUGCUCAAAAAAAAAUAUUAUAUUUUUAUUUUUUGUUAUAAUUAAAAUUUAUUCAAAUUUAUACAUUUUUAAUGAAUUAUAUUGUUUAGAGCAUUCAUCAUUAAACAAAAUGUUUAACAUAAUUGAAAGUUCCUUAUUUCGGAUAAAAAUAGAAUAUCUUGGCGAUUAUAGCCUUGAUGGUAGUAGCAAUAUUAGUAGUUGCAAUAGAAGUAGUAGCAAUAGAAGUAGUAGCAAUAGCAGUAGUAGCAAUAUAAGUAGUAGCAAUAUAAGUAGUAGCAAUAUAAGUAGUAGCAAUAGCAGUAAUGGUACUAAAAGACUAACAACUUGUGUGAUAAACCUAGACAUAUUUAAUGACCAACUCCCAACGAAAGAUGAUAACCAGUACUUAAAUAUGCUAAACGAUCAGGAUGAAAAAAAAAAAUACUCUACAAAAGUAGAACAGUUCGAGCUUGCACAGAAAGACGAGCGGGCUACAGACGUCGGUAUAGGUGAUAAUAUGGGUAGUAGUGCUAAUACGGAUACAGAUAGUAGUAGUACAGACCAAAACAAAAAGAACCAACUGUACUCCAAUUUCAAACACAAUAACUCAACAAAUUACUCAAACAUAAUUUUAGAUAACAUUUUAUUUAUCAACAUUUUAUUUACAUGUCCAAUUAAUGUUAUUAAUAAAAUAUACAUAAAAGAAAAAAAAAAAUUAUAUUUGUAUUUAAAAAAAUGUAAAAGCAUUUUUAACCUCUUAAAACUAAUAUGUUUAACUUUUGAAUUUCACAAACAUGUAUAUACUUUGAUAAAUGAAACAAAUGACCAUUUAAAUAAAAUAAAUUUGUUAAAUCCAAUAAACGAUUUCAAAUAUUUUGAUUUAUUUUAUGAAAAUAUUUUUACAAUUAGCAUAACGUUUAAUGAUUUUCAAAUCGAUGGCUCUAGUUUAUGUUUUUUUAUGAUGUUGCAACCAGAGGAUUAUUCGAGAGUAAUUGUUAUUCCACACUACACAAAGUGGGGUAUGGGUAUAGGUAAAACAAAUAAGAGUAACCUAGCAGUGAAGUCGUUUUAUAAAAAUAUGAAAAACAAAAAUUCUUUCGAUCUUUUUAGUAAUUAUGGCGAUUAUGAUGGCGAUUAUGAUGGCGAUUAUGAUGGCGACUAUGAUGGUGAUUAUGAUGGUACAGGAAUGAACAAGGGUGUGGGAACAAACUUCAAAAAAACUUUUUUAUUUUAUAACAACCAAAAUAAACAGUCCGAAUUAAACAACAACGGUCAUAUGAUAAUUGACCAUUUGAGUGAAGCAAAACUGUUUAUUUAUUUAUUUUUAAAAUUUUUUAAUAUAUUAAAUAGUGACGACACAACGAAUGUAAAAUAUUGUACGAUAAAUGUUAGUAUUAAAAAUAGUUUUGAUAAUAGUAAUGGUCCCGCAACAGCUGAUUUGGAUGAAGGCGUUGUCAAUGAUAAGUUAUUUCAGCAACAUAACGGAUUUUUAAAUAAUGAAGAAAUGAAAAUAAUAAGCAGUAGCAAUGGAGACGGAAACGAAGAAAAAAACGGAAACGAAGAAAAAAACGGAAACGAAAAAAACGGAAACGAAAAAAACGGAAACGAAAAAAACGAAAACGAAAAAAAAAACGAAAAAAAAAACGAAAAAAAAAACGAAAACGAUUUUGUAAUGAAGCUAAAACUAUUCGAAGAUUAUGACAUGUUUUUUAAUAACGUAAAAUAUCUAUUAAAAUAUAUGAACAAAAUAAUAUUAGUACAUUCAAAUUUUCAUAUCCCGUUUUUUCUUUCAACCGUAUUAUGCCCAUUUAUUGAAUUUUUGCGAACGGCAAAAGUAUGGUUUCUUUUAUUUGAUUGUUUAAAAAUGAAUUAUACCAACAUAACUUUAAAAAGGGCAACAAAUAUAAAUAAUGCUUUUGGGUAUAUAACAGCAUUAAAAAAGAAAAAUAAAAUAUUAAAUGAUGGUGACAUCGAUUUAAAAGGCAAUGAACAUAAAGGCAUAAUCCUAAAAAAAGAACAAGUCACACAAGAUGAACAAACUGUAGUUACAGUCAACCAAGUGCAGAUGAACAACGAAAGUAACAAAACUAAAAAUGGUAGUUGUAAUAGUGGUAGUGGUGGUAUUACUAGUAAUCACAGUGAUACGUGCGAUGAUAUAUGUAUACAUAUGGUCUGGUUUUUGUAUAUUUUUAAAACAUCACGUAUGAUAAUGCUACAAGAGCUUAAAAAAAUAAACCACAAAAGAAAACGUAACAUAAUUAUGCUAAGUGGUUGUGAUUGUAACUACCACCGCGUUGGUAAUUGUGAGGAACUUGACUUUGUAUGUGCUAGCAGUAGUAGCAGUCGUAGUAGUAGUAGUAGUAGUAGUAGCAACAGAAGCCGUAGUAGCAGUAGCAGCGACAGAAGCCGUAGUAGCAGUAGCAGCAACAGAAGCCGUAGUAGCAGCAGAAGUAGUAACGAAAGAAUAAAAAAAAAAAUUCGAGUUGAUGAUUUAAAUGAAAAGGACAGCAGUAAGAACGAUAAGUCGGUCGAAAAGGAUGACAUUAAACACAAUAAUAUUAUAAUGACCACCAAAAUAAAAGAAGAAGAAAAAACUGAAUGCAUAACUAAUAACAAUAAAACAAACGAAGAAAUGGUAUACAAUGGUUUAUUACCAAAUGGAUAUAUUGAGAGUACAAAUAAAAUAACUAGAGAACAAUUAAUAUAUAUGAUAAAUGCUUAUACUUAUAACAAUAAUGAUAUAUUUUUAAAUGAACAUAAACCAACAGAUAUAAUUUUAUUUAAAAAAAAAAAAAAAAUGUUUACACGGUAUUAUAUUUUACAACGUUGGACUAAAGAAAAAAUGUUUAAGUUGAGAAAGAGGAAAGGGGUAAGUGGAAGUGGUAGUAUUACAUAUGCUAAUGCAAAUGGUAGUGAACGUAAGAGUAGAGGUGAAAAUAGUAAGUAUCAGUCAAAACAAACAGGAACUCGCAAUCUAAUUAUACACAUGGAGAAAAAAAAAAAAAAAAAAAAAAAAACAUCCCCAAAAAACAGGUAUAAUAAUAUAACAAAUAAUUGUAAUAUGAAUUGUGUUUUACAUUCAAUUAGCAUUUACUACGAAAAUGUUGGUGAAACGGUAGAUGAAAAAGAUACUUGGUUUUACUGUAAUGCGAAACAUAAUUUAAAAAAAAACGGUAAAGAUAUUAAUCAUGAAGCAGUAAAUGGUGCAGAAAAAAAAAAAAAUCGUUUUUUAUUAGCACAGACAAAUAUGCUAAAAAAUGUGAGUAAAUUAAAUUCAGCUUUAAAUACUAUUUAUAAAUAUAUAAAAAUAUGGUUUUUAAAAAUGGAUUUUAAUAAUAUUCGAACUUUUUUUUUAUUACUUAAUGAAAUAAUUAAUGAUAAAAAAAGUAUAUGUGAGUUAAGCUCACUGCUGUUUAAUUGUAUUUUAUCAUAUUAUGAUCAUUUAAAUUUUUGGAUUUCACAAAAAUUUACAAACUUGUCUGUCCCCUUUAUCGAAUUAAUGUUUAUGCCAAGCGAACGUAAGGACGUAUCUAGUAGUAACACCAUAAGUAGUGACGUGUGUACUAAAAAAGAAAAAUUAUUAAAACAGGAAAAUUUAUUAAAACAGGAAAAGUUAUUAAAACAGGAAAAGUUACUAAAACAGGAAAAGUUAUUAAAAAAGGAAAAGUUAUUAAAAGAGGAAAAGUUAUUAAAAGAGGAAAAGUUAUUAAAAGAGGAAAAGUUAUUAAAAGAGGAAAAGUUAUUAAAAGAGGAAAAGUUAUUAAAAGAGGAAAAGUUAUUAAAAGAGGAAAAGUUAUUAAAAGAGGAAAAGUUAUUAAAAGAGGAAAAGUUAUUAAAAGAGGAAAAGUUAUUAAAAGAG